rnacentral:ncRNA from 1 species
UAUUUUAGGUUCUACAAAGAUUAAUAGGGAAAGAGGUGUAAUUCCUCUACAGCCCCCGUUACUGUGAGGUGGACGAAACUCAAUAAACCACUGUAGAAAUUCGCAUAGCAAAUUUUUAUGGGAAGGUGAGGAGUAGGAUGAAACUAAGUCAGGAGACCUGCCUAGAAUAUA